AUGAUGGCACAAGCCUGUCCGCAGCCCGCAGGACCCCCGGGACCCCCGUACUGGGACCUGGCGGAGCCUCCAUCCAGCACCGCCCGAAAGUUCCUGGGCCCCAGCGGCCGCAGCCACCCGGCCGCCCUCCGCGCGCGGGUUCCACCCCCGCCGCCCCCCGCGCCCCCGCCCGGGCCCCCGCGCCCCCGGCCCCCUCCGCGCCGCCUCCGCGCCCCAGCUCACCUGACGCCGCCGCGCCGCUCCGGGGGCCGCCGAGCGCCCCUCGCCAUGGCCCGCCCGUGCGGAUGCCGCCGCUCCGCCCCGCGCCCGACCCGGCAGCUCCUACCGCGGGCGAGUCGCCUCCGCCGGCGCCGGGGAGCUCCGCGGGCGGGGGCGGGCGCUGCGGGGCUUGCACCUGCGGCAGCCGGAGCGGCCGGUGCCGAGCAUGCCCAGUGCGGCCCGCGGGGGCGCGGAGGGGGCGCGGGGGGGCCGGGCGGCCGGGGGCGCGGCGGCGGCGGCGGCGCGGGGCGGCCGGGGUGUCGCCGCCGGGGUGUCGCCGCCGGGUUUUCGCGGCAGCCACGGGGAGGGGCGGGGCGGGGCGGGGCGGGGCGGGCGGGCUGCGGGUGCGGGGUCCGCCUCCAGCGGGCGCGGGCUCCGGGGCUCUGGGUCCCGCCCCCGCUCGCGCACGCGGCUGCCGCGGGAGCCCGGGGCACCGGCUCUGACGCUGCGGGGCGGGGGCGGGGGCGGGGCUCCCGGGGCCCCAGCGCCCUCCCGGGGUGCCGCGGCGCCCGAGGCGCAGGGAGGCCCGGGAACAGGUGCCCCAGGGUCGCACCCCGGGGCGGACUCCCCCCGGCGCCGAGGCCACCUGGAGGCCUUCCCGGGGCUCCGCUGUCCGUGCGGGAGCCGCGCAGGAGCAGGUGGAGGAGGACGCGGCAGGACCUUCUCUGCUGCCUUCUCAGCGACCAUUCACUGCGACUCCUGUCCACCUCUCUUCAGAUUCUCAGAGGAUCAGCAGAAUGCUCUCGUGCUAUCUUAAACAGGCUUGAGGCAGGUGGGGGAAACUUGCUUUUAACGCUCUGUCACAGAAGAGAAGACUGA
rnacentral:lncRNA from 1 species